rnacentral:pre_miRNA from 1 species
UAUACGAAACGCCGUUGAUUUUCUUAAAUAUGUUUGACCGUUCGUCUUAUUAAAAUUUUUUAAGUAAUUAUUAAAUUUUGUCCCUAUCAUUUGAUACAUUGUUAAAUAUACUUAUAUGUAUACAUAUAGUUUUAUAUAUUUCACAAAAGUUUUUGAAUAAGACGAACGGUUAAACAUGUGCUAAAAAGUCAACGGUGUCAAAUAUU